UUAUGAGAGAACUCCAGGACAAGAUAAUGAUAUUGUUGUUUCAUAAAUACAAAAGUUAUGACUUUCCUGGCAUGCAUCACAAGGCCAGUGGUUAAUAAGACAUGCAGUCUUGUCUCAUGUGCAGCAUAGAAUCUGUAAUAAGGGACUGGCAACAGAGCUAGCUGGUAUGUCAUGUCAACACUAAUCCCGACUCCUUGGAGAGCACAUGAAGAGUGGAAGGCACACAAUCAGAGUUCUGUGCAAGCACUGUAAUGAAUGUGUAUUGCCAAAGGAAGCAAUGUAGGUUUUUUUUAUAAGAGUGGGGUUUUUUAUACUAUACAGCAACAGCAGAGAUGUAGCUAGGCUGAGCUUAACAGAGGUGAAUUCUUCAGUUGGGGAAAAAAGAGAUCUGCUCCACUAACAUUUGUUAUGGAUAGGUCCAAAUUACAGACAUACGAAUUCACCUGUAUUCAGCCUUUGAAUCUGGCAUUAUCAUUUAAUUCACUUUAUAAGCAAAACUUGGUUCCAGGUAACAAUUGGUAUCCUACAACCUCACAAGGCUUUUGAUAUCUAGACAGUAAGCAAAUCACUGAAGCAACUGGUCUUGUUGACAGUGAUAAAGAGUGAUUAACUUAUUUCUUUUGGGAAAUGUAAUUCCAAGGAAUAGGUCUAAGAAGAAAUGAAACCCAGCAAAAGUCUUUUGCUACUAGCAUUUCUUUUCCUCUUCUUUCGCCCGCCCUGGUUAACCACCAGCAGCGUUAGCUUGCCAUUAUCAUGUUGACGAAUCUUCCUUUUCAUUAAUAUCUGGUUUAUCUUCCUCUGAGUAUGCCAAAAUUUAACCCAGUGUGAAAGUUUAUGAUGAAGCUGCAAAGUAGAAACUUAGCAGAGGAAGCUGAUACCAACAUGCAAAAGAGUGUAUGCAGCAGUCCUGUUCAUCUUUUCGGGGCUCACUCAUUUUUGAGUGGUAACUGCCCUGAUACAACUCUACACACUGGAGAUUGAAUGAAAAAAAUUACAGCAGAAAACCCCACUUCCUCCAUAAUUCAGCCUCUGCUUUCCAAACUGUAACCGGCUUCAUGCUGAAGACUCACAGUGCUUCCUUCCAAAAUUAGCUUUUCCAGUCUUACAAACCACAGCUGCUUCUGGUUGGAGUAAGGCUACUGAUAGCUCAGGACAGUGUUUUACAUGGAGAAACUGAGGCACAGAAAUGCUGCAGAUGUUAGACAAAAUCAGCGAGGGAUCCAGCAAGUGAAGUAGAAGUCCUGGCCUCCCAGCAUAUGCCACGAAAGCAAAGGAACUGUGGGCCAACAAAAGGAAAAAAUGCUGUCUACCAGAAAUGGAACAUUUUUCAUACCGGCUUUUUAAUAUGCUGGAAACCAGAAAAGAAAAACCUCUGGUGAUUGAUCCCUUCCCUGACUUUUCUUAUGAUACAGUCUGAAGACUAGUCAAAGAAAGUUAAACCAACAUUUCUAACCUGCAUUGCAAAGCUCUCAUCAGUGUGCAGGAGGCUAUCCUUUCCUGGUAAUACUCUCAUUGCCAUCUUUUGAAGUUUGGUGGGUUUUUUACUACAUAUGAUAUGACUGAAGUUCUUUGUCUGCAGAAAAGAGAGUCCACGUGCCUCCAGCAGAUGCAGGGUGAAGGCUUCUGCAUCACUCUAGCUCCGACUCUCCAUCUUAUCCAGUGAAAUUUUAAAUAAGCUUUAGCAAAAGAGUUUGAGAGAACCUCACAUAAGCAUCUCUCACUGGCCAGGAUGCACUCCUGUGAUAUAAGUUUUAACCGCACACAAUCUGAACUUAAGCUUUCUGUAGACCAAGUAACUCCAGGAAGAAGGGGUGUUACCUUACUCGCUCUUCUCCUUUGAAAGGCACUAAAAGCCUUUCUAUUUAAAGAAAAAAAAAAUAAAUAAAAAAGAUCUGCAGAUUCCACACAGAGUUAGGAACUUGCCUAUAUAUCCCUAUAGACAAAGCUUAUUUUAUAUUUUGACAUUGAACCUUGGCCUCUGUGGCACCACAAAAUGCUUUAUUCUCUCUGAAGCUCACAGAGAGAGCCCAGGAAGGACUGAGCGUUAUGCCAAGUUCUCUGUGUGAAUGUUUCCCUCCCUACAGUUCAAUAGGCCAUUUGUAAGAAUAUCUAACUAAUAAGGAUAUUCCUUUGCAUGCCAUUAAUCAGUAAAAGCAAGAAAUGAAAUGGUGUGUUUUGUGAGCUUUUAUUACUGAGUCCUUUGUCAAUGAAUAUGACACUGAGGUGGUUGGGUCACAAAUUUGUGUCACAAAUAAUGGGACACAGCUAUAUGAAUCGAAGUCUCCUGUUGUAGUGCCACUCACAGUUGCUAUUCUCCUCUUUUUUGUAAAACGUAGUUUCCACUGGUCCCUGACGUGAGACAGAAAAGGAAUUCUUAGUGACUCACCAUGGGGAAGCAUAUAGAUAAGGGGUGGUAACCGGCUAAAUAAAUUUUCAAUAUGUUUUGUCACAUUUUCCUUUAGAGCUAUCCAAAGUCUUCAUGCACUUAUGUUAAUAAUCACAGAGCAGCAAAAGACAGUGCACAACUUUUUUGGUGCAAGGAUGUGAGCAUCUUUCUAACAGAUGAAAAUGCUCAUUUCUGGACUUACAGGAUAAACACAGCUGCGAAUUUAAAGUUUAUUUUAAUCAGGCUAAUAUUUGCAGUUUAAGAAGACUGCAGUUUUUGUCUGUGUGAAUAAGACAACAGUUUUCAGUAAUGUUAACCAAAUUGUUAAUGGUACUUUGGUAAGGCUACAAAAUUACUGUCUCAAAAGUAAAGAUAUACUAGGAGUGCAUGUUUCUGCAGCUAUUUAACACAGACUUGUGCCUUUUGUGAAUCUGUAGCAUGAUGUAAGUCUUACAGAGAUUGUUUUUUUUCCCCACUGGUCCU